UUUUACUUACUCCGUGAAUC
rnacentral:snRNA from 1 species